rnacentral:rRNA from 1 species
UAGGGAAUAUUGCUUAAUGGGCGAAAGCCUGAAGCAGCAACGCCGCGUGUGUGAAGAAGGCCUUCGGGUUGUAAAACACUUUUUGAGGGAAUGAGGAAGGACAGUACCCUCAGAAUAAGCCUCGGCUAACUACGUGCCAGCAGCCGCGGUAAAACGUAGGAGGCGAGCGUUAUCCGGACUUACUGGGCGUAAAGCGCGUGCAGGCGGCACGGCAAGUUGGAUGUGAAAGCUCCCGGCUUAACUGGGAGAGGUCGUUCAAAACUGCCGAGCUAGAGUGCGGGAGAGGGAGGUGGAAUUCCGGGUGUAGUGGUGAAAUGCGUAGAUAUCCGGAGGAACACCAGUGGAGAAAGCGGCCUCCUGGUCCGCAACUGACGCUCAGACGCGAAAGCUAGGGUAGCAAACGG